UGGGGAAUAUUGGACAAUGGGGGAAACCCUGAUCCAGCCAUGCCGCGUGAGUGAAGACGGCCUUAGGGUUGUAAAGCUCUUUCAAACGUGAAGAUAAUGACGGUAGCGUUAGAAGAAGCUCCGGCUAAAUUCGUGCCAGCAGCCGCGGUAAUACGAAUGGAGCAAGCGUUGUUCGGAAUCACUGGGCUUAAAGCGUAUGUAGGCGGAACAGAAAGUCAGGAGUGAAAUCCCGGGGCUCAACCCCGGAACUGCUCUUGAAACUUCUGUUCUAGAAUCCUGGAGAGGUUGGGAGAAUUCCGAGUGUAGAGGUGAAAUUCGCAGAUAUUCGGAGGAAUACCAGUGGCGUAGGCGCCCAACUGGACAGGUAUUGACGCUCAGAUACGAAAGCGUGGGGAGCAAACAGGAUUAGAUACCCCGGUAGUCC
rnacentral:rRNA from 1 species